rnacentral:piRNA from 1 species
UCACUGUAAAGGAAUUUUGAGGUACCAUAGA